UACGUAGGGAGCGAGCGUUGUCCGGAUUCAUUGGGCGUAAAGAGCUCGUAGGCGGCUUGGUAAGUCGGAUGUGAAACCUCCAGGCUCAACCUGGAGUCGCCAUCCGAUACUGCCAUGGCUAGAGUCCGGUAGGGGCCCACGGAAUUCCUGGUGUAGCGGUGAAAUGCGCAGAUAAUCAGGAGGAACACCGAUGGCGAAGGCAG
rnacentral:rRNA from 1 species